rnacentral:rRNA from 1 species
UUGAAUUGAAGAGUUUGAUCAUGGCUCAGAUUGAACGCUGGCGGCAGGCUUAACACAUGCAAGUCGAACGGUAGCAGGAGAAAGCUUGCUUUCUUGCUGACGAGUGGCGGACGGGUGAGUAAUGCUUGGGAAUCUGGCUUAUGGAGGGGGAUAACGACGGGAAACUGUCGCUAAUACCGCGUAGAAUCGGAAGAUGAAAGUGCGGGACCGAAAGGCCGCAUGCCAUGAGAUGAGCCCAAGUGGGAUUAGGUAGUUGGUGGGGUAAGGGCCUACCAAGCCUGCGAUCUCUAGCUGGUCU